CUUUCCUUUGGACCGGUACUUCGCCAUCCACUACACGGGGCAGUGCACUGGAAAAAGGGCCCAAAAGUUUUUUGUGUUCUUGUCUCAAACAAGCUAAUGAAGCGGCAGCUGCAGCGGCAGCAGAACAAUAGAAGAUGGCGACGGUGCUCCGGACUCCGGAGCUUCUGCCUCCCUCUUCGGCCAGAGAAUCAUUAGUUAUUGUGGUGUGACAGAUAAUGUUUUAGGAAACCUUCGACCGGGGUCUGUACUCGGGGGAACAAAGGUCCAGAUAUUUAAGCAGAGGUCCUAUCCCGCGGUGCAUUAAACACGCCAGAAGUUCAAAGACGCAGGGGGAACUGAUGAGAUCAAAACCAUAGUACUGAUAAGUGAUAAGCACGGAGGAAUCUCUCAUUUGGUGAAGAGAUUCAGCCCUACUUCAAUUCUCGUCCCUGGCAUCUCCAAGGUUGCUGAUGUUAUUACUGGUAAUUCUUGGGAGCGGAGAUGCACAAGGCUUAUUGGAAUGCCCACAAAUUGCCAAGCUGCUGAAAGAAUUAUCCCUGAUAAUGCUGCUGCAGACCAAGUUCGAUGGUUUCCUGAUAAACAAGGGGAGUUCUCUGUUUCUGAUACCUGGAAUCACCUGCGAGUGAAAGCAGAAAAAGGUUGAUUGGUGUGGUGCUAUCUGGUUUAAUGCAUGUAUCAGAAAUAUAGCUUCAUAUUGUGACUCGCCAUUCUGAACAAACUAGCAACUGGAGACCAAAUUGUUGGUUAGGGAACUGGCUCUGACAAAGCGGUUGUUGAGUGGCAUGCUGAGUUGCAGUAGAUCGUCACCUCUUAGAAGGGUAAAGCUCUUGAUAAGGCCAAAGGUAAGCAGCUCGGAUAGGCUUUGAAAGGCAGAGUAUUGAUAAUAGUCACUGGGAUUGAAUAAAAUUGGGGAGUGCAAGGCAAUGCAU